AUUGAACGCUGGCGGCAGGCCUAACACAUGCAAGUCGAGCGGAUGAAGGGAGCUUGCUCCCGGAUUCAGCGGCGGACGGGUGAGUAAUGCCUAGGAAUCUGCCUGGUAGUGGGGGAUAACGUCCGGAAACGGGCGCUAAUACCGCAUACGUCCUGAGGGAGAAAGUGGGGGAUCUUCGGACCUCACGCUAUCAGAUGAGCCUAGGUCGGAUUAGCUAGUUGGUGGGGUAAAGGCCCACCAAGGCGACGAUCCGUAACUGGUCUGAGAGGAUGAUCAGUCACACUGGAACUGAGACACGGUCCAGACUCCUACGGGAGGCAGCAGUGGGGAAUAUUGGACAAUGGGCGAAAGCCUGAUCCAGCCAUGCCGCGUGUGUGAAGAAGGUCUUCGGAUUGUAAAGCACUUUAAGUUGGGAGGAAGGGCAGUAAGUUAAUACCUUGCUGUUUUGACGUUACCAACAGAAUAAGCACCGGCUAACUUCGUG
rnacentral:rRNA from 1 species